rnacentral:rRNA from 1 species
GAUGAACGCUGACAGAAUGCUUAACACAUGCAAGUCUACUUGAACUUCGGUUUGGGUGGCGGACGGGUGAGUAACGCGUAGAGAACUUGCCUCACAGUUAGGGACAACAUUUGGAAACGAAUGCUAAUACCUGAUAUUAUGAUUUUAGGGCAUCCUAGGAUUAUGAAAGCUAUAUGUGCUGUGAGAGAGCUUUGCGUCCCAUUAGCUAGUUGGAGAGGUAACGGCUCACCAAGGCGAUGAUGGGUAGCCGGCCUGAGAGGGUGAACGGCCACAAGGGGACUGAGACACGGCCCUUACUCCUACGGGAGGCAGCAGUGGGGAAUAUUGGACAAUGGACCAAAAGUCUGAUCCAGCAAUUCUGUGUGCACGAUGACGUUUUUCGGAAUGUAAAGUGCUUUCAGUUGGGAAGAAAAAAAUGACGGUACCAACAGAAGAAGUGACGGCUAAAUACGUG